rnacentral:ncRNA from 1 species
AUCGGCGGAGGGCAAACCAUUCGGAAGAGUGGGGCGCAAAGCUAGAGGGCCUACGCCCUGCGCGGUGCAGGGUCAGGCAGCCAGUUGCCGGA